AUACAAAUUGCAUCGUGCAAUGGUGUGCACAUGUUUUAGGACACAAAGUUCGCCGUAAAAACAGUCUUCCAUCCGCUCCGUGGAGUUCCCGAGUGUCGCUUGAAUGCUUCGGUUAUGGUGCAGUUGUUUUUGCAUAACUCGCCCGGAAUUAUUUGGACAACAGGGGUAGCGUCAAGUGCCACACUUCCGAAGACGUUAGGUCGCAGCGGGACAAUGUAUUCACGCCAACAUUGCAGUCGGAAGAAAGUGCAGUGCAAGACAGUUUGUUGUUGCUGCUGCUGCUGCUGUCCGCAUUCCAUAUCGCUUGUGACGUGAAACAAUAGUGAAAUCUCAUCUGUCGCACGAGCUACGAGGAGAGUGGUUUUUUUGUGUGUUCUAUUUGUUGCAUAUUUUGCAUGCAAAUGCACUUUACAAUGCACUCAAUCGCUUGGUGUGAUGCAGUCGCUUGCUGAAGAAAAGGUUUUGCAUUCAUAUCACCCACGAUGACGAUGAUACACAAACUCACAGACACACACACACACACACACACACAUGUGUAUAUUGCAUGCACGACCGAGCAGCGGUUUGUUUGCAUACUGUUUCCGUUUGAAGUUGUGACCAUCUUGUUGUGAGACGGUGGACGGUGUGCCCUUGUCAGAAAGAUUGACUCUCGCAUGACGGUGCGGUGUCACACAGUAUGCUUCACCCGUCGUGGGGUCCUGGCUUAUGAUGGGAUUAUUCCCCAUAUGUGUGCGUGUGUGUUGCACUCAACUCUUAACCUUACCCGUAGAGAAAACAGCGAGAAGGCAUAGUGCUUUCUAAACAAACAAAAACACUACUACAAAAGCAAUUCAAUCCAUCAGAUCACAGCCCUGCCAACAAGA